UUAAAAGUUACUAUUCCCUGUUUCUAAGAGACCAUUUCUCGUACUUUCUGAUACUGUUAGAGAAGCGUUCAUCUACAAUAAGAGCAAGAAUUUUAAUUUUAUCUGCAUCUAUCUUCAAACAUCCUUAGAAUGGUCCACAAUUAUAAAGGAAUAACUUCGGCCUAUGACAGAUGAGAGCAGAAUUCAGGAGGAAGAAAUUUAGGCUUUCUCCUCACCCAGUGAUGAAGAG